UACGGAGGGGGCGAGCGUUAUUCGGAAUUAUUGGGCGUAAAGGGUGCGUAGGCGGCUGUGUAAGUCAAAGGUGAAAUCCCUCGGCUCAACUGAGGAACUGCCUUUGAAACUGCUCAGCUUGAGGCCGGGAGGGGGUGGUGGAAUUCCCAGUGUAGCGGUGAAAUGCGUAGAUAUUGGGAGGAACACCAGUGGCGAAGGCGGCCACCUGGACCGGUUCUGACGCUGAGGCGCGAAAGCGUGGGUAGCAAACAGGAUUAGAUACCCUGGUAGUCCACGCUGUAAACGAUGGGUACUCGGUGUCGUGGGUAUCGACCCCUACGGUGCCUUAGCUAACGCGUUAAGUACCCCGCCUGGGGAGUACGGUCGCAAGGCUGAA
rnacentral:rRNA from 1 species